AUUGAACGCUGGCGGCAGGCCUAACACAUGCAAGUCGAGCGCGAAAAUUCCUUCGGGGAUGAGUAGAGCGGCGGACGGGUGAGUAAUGCGCAGAAAUCUGCCCAGUAGUGGGGGACAACCUGGUGAAAACCAGGCUAAUACCGCAUACGCCUACGGGGAAGGCAGGGAUCUUCGGACCUUGCGCUAUUGGAUGAGUCUGCGUCGGAUUAGCUUGUUGGUGAGGUAAUGGCUCACCAAGGCGACAAUCCGUAGCUGGUCUGAGAGGAUGAUCAGCCACACUGGGACUGAGACACGGCCCAGACUCCUACGGGAGGCAGCAGUGGGGAAUAUUGGACAAUGGGCGAAAGCCUGAUCCAGCCAUGCCGCGUGUAGUGAAGAAGGCUCUAGGGUUGUAAAGCACUUUCAGUGGGGAAGAAAGCUUGUUAGCUAAUAACUGACGAGUGUGACAUUACCCACAGAAGAAGCACCGGU
rnacentral:rRNA from 1 species